rnacentral:rRNA from 1 species
AGAGUUUGAUCCUGGCUCAGAACGAACGCUGGCGGCGCGUCUUAAGCAUGCAAGUCGAACGGCAAGAUUUGUGCUUGCACAAAUCCUAGAGUGGCGGACUGGUGAGUAACACGUGGGUGACAUACCCUUCAGUUGGGGAUAGCUAUUAGAAAUAGUAGAUAAUACCGAAUACGACCGUAGUUGUUAGAGGACUACGAGGAAAGUAGCUAAGGCUAUGCUGAAGGAUUGGCCCGCGGCCCAUUAGCUAGUUGGUGUGGUAAAGGCAUACCAAGGCGAUGAUGGGUAUCCGGCCUGAGAGGGUGAUCGGACACAUUGGGACUGAGAUACGGCCCAGACUCCUACGGGAGGCAGCAGCUAAGAAUAUUCCGCAAUGGACGAAAGUCUGACGGAGCGACGCCGCGUGAACGAAGAAGGUGGAAACAUUGUAAAGUUCUUUUAAUUGAGAGGAAUAAGCUUUGUAGGGAAUGACAGAGUGGUGACUGUAUCAAUUGAAUAAGCAACGGCUAAUUACGUGCCAGCAGCCGCGGUAACACGUAAGUUGCGAGCGUUGUUCGGAAUUAUUGGGCGUAAAGGGCAUGUAGGCGGUUCUGAAAGCUUGGUGUGAAAUUCCGGGGCUCAACUCCGGAACUGCAUGAGAACUGCAGGACUUGAAUUAUUGAGGGGUAGCUAGAAUUCCAAGUGUAGGGGUGAAAUCUGUAGAUAUUUGGAAGAAUACCAAUGGCGAAGGCAAGCUACUAGCAGAUAAUUGACGCUGAGGUGCGAAGGUGCGGGGAGCAAACAGGAUUAGAUACCCUGGUAGUCCGCACAGUAAACAAUGUACACUAGGUGUUUGACCAAGAGGUUGGGUGCCAAAGCAAACGUGAUAAGUGUACCGCCUGGGAAGUAUGCCCGCAAGGGUGAAACUCAAAGGAAUUGACGGGGGCCCGCACAAGCGGUGGAGCAUGUGGUUUAAUUCGAUGAUACGCGAGGAACCUUACCCGGGCUCGAACGGCAGAUGAAUAAAUCAGAGAUGGUUUAGUCUUCGGACAUCUGUCGAGGUGCUGCAUGGUUGUCGUCAGCUCGUGCUGUGAAGUGCCGGCUUAAGUGCCAUAACGAGCGCAACCCUUGCCGUUAGUUGCCAUCAGGUUAUGCUGGGGACUCUAGCGGGACUGCCACCGCAAGGUGUGAGGAAGGGGGGGAUGACGUCAAGUCAUCAUGGCCCUUAUGUCCAGGGCUACACACGUGCUACAAUGGUUGAAACAGAGUGAAGCGAAACAGUGAUGUGGAGCAAAACGCAAAAAAGCAAUCGUAGUUCGGAUUGAAGUCUGAAACCCGACUUCAUGAAGUUGGAAUCGCUAGUAAUCGCAUAUCAGCACGAUGCGGUGAAUACGUUCCCGGGCCUUGCACACACCGCCCGUCA